rnacentral:lncRNA from 1 species
CGAAUGUUGAUCGAGAUGAAGAUGAAGCUCUGCACUCGUGCAUUGCUGAUUGCAAUGAAGAACAGAGAUUUGUGUUUGUGUACAUUGCGUCGAAGGAUGAAGUAUGAGGAUUUGUGUUUGUGAUGAAGAUCGAGAUGUUAUUGCAGAAUGAAGCUUCCUCUCGAUUUCCCGUUACGAUUCAGUGCAAGGCCUUCAUAGCGAAUUGAGAUGUUUUUGCCGUUACUCCCUUCCUUCAAUCUCCUUUCGAUUUCUCCUUCUUCCUGUUUUUUCGAUUUUUGAUCUUCUUUUGAAGAUGUCUUCUUCUUCGAUUCCAAUUUUCUUUUCUAUUUUCUUCUUUUCUUCCUAUUUCUGUUGCCCUUUUGUUCUGAUUCAGUUUUGGUUGUAGCAGGGCUUCGUGUUGUUGAUGAUGGAAGUGGCAAUUUUGGUGAAAGAUCCCGUGUUGAAAUGGAAGAUUGAGUCAAAUUCUUUUGAUGCCGAGUGAAACUCAGGGUCUUCUGUUGUAAGGUGGUAUUGAAGUGUUAUUCUGUUAUGAGGGUUGUUAGAGGUUAGCUUGGGAUUUUUUGUUGAUGGUUUUGUUGAGCUGAGGGUGGUUGAAGGUGUGGAGGAAUGAAGGUUUUUUCGGUGUUGGAGGUCGUUACAGGCUGGCUUAAGAAGUUGGUUAUGGAGAAGUUGUUAGAAGUUCAAAGUAAACAAUUAUAUCAGUUUUUCCGUUAUCAGUUGGUUGUGAUUCAGUUGAGUUUGUUAGGUGGUUACCGUUAACCAUCGAUUUUGUUACAUGUUUUUUAUUGAAUUCUGUCACAGGUUAUCUCACUGUUAUGUGAGGUUGGUUAUAUGUUGUUAUUGUUUCCGUUAGAAUUAUGUGGAGAAAUGGUUGAAGAGUGAAGCCAAUGGUUAGGAGCUAAUUUGGUUCUGUUGGUGGAAUUGGAAAAAAUGCUUAUUGUUUUAUGCAGGUUAGGCUUAUACUGUAGAAAAUGAAAGGCUUGAAUCAUGUUUGGACUUUUGUGCAGGUUGAAUGCUACAAAUUGAAAUUUGGAUUGGCUCAAUUUGGUUUGCAUUGCUUGGAACUAGAUGCAAGGAUUGCUUGAUGGACUUUUGCUCAUGGCGAUUUGAAAUAGGCUUUGUAGGGUUUACGGUUAUGAUUGAAUGUAACUUAGGUCAUGUGGUUUCAUGUUAUGU